rnacentral:lncRNA from 1 species
CUGACCCUCUCCACCCAUGCUUCGUGCACUCAGGCGCUCAUCCAGGGAUCAUCCUGUACCUCAGACUCCGCCAAGAACUGUCCAGCCCCAGGGCCUUUGCAAGCGCUGGUUGCACUGCCUGGGAUGCCCUCUCCCAGCUCACCACAUGGCUGGCUCUUUCCCAUUCAUUGGCCUCAGCCCAGUGGCCUCCUUCUCGUCAGAGAGGCCGCCCCUGCCUGCCCUGGCUGGCCGGCUCCUCCCCUACAAUGACUCUAUGACAUCAUCAUGUCCCUUCUCCUCGGAGUCCUCAGACCCUCCGAAAUCCUCUGGUCUGUGUUUUGUUUCCUCUGUCUCUAUCUCUCUCCCCACUAGAAGGCAGGCCCCAGGAGGGCAAGGACCCGGCCUGUCCAGCUCCCAGCCAUAGCCCCAGGGCGGGACUGCAGUAGAUGCUCAACAAGGCUUCUUUCCUCCCACCAGCCUCUCCUUCCCGCAGGGGCGACAGGACUUGGGGGUGUUGUUGGGGUCUAAACGACCCAAAGGAAAGAGACGCUGAAGUGGGUGAGCUGGCCUCGCACUGCACUUCCUGCUGGAGUUCAAAGUCAGCCCUGCCCCUGGAACUGCCAUGGCCAGUUUAGAUUGUUCCAGAAUCCCGCUGCAGGCUGUUCAAAAGGCUCCCAGCUGCUAUCAGGAAAUAGCUCAGGAAGGUCUCCGUUAAACACUAAGAAACUGAGAUGCAAUCAGCUGGCCUGGAAUUCAGGAAAGUGCUGGUUCUGAAAUUGAGGACAGAAAGGACAUGUCUCGGGGCGAGAAGAUGUGAACCUGCCAACCAGCCUGUGUUCUUCUUCCACCUGUCCUGCCACGUGUUCUGCCACGUCCAUGCCUCCUGUCCCGCCAACACCCCAGGAGUUGGCAGAUUGGGACCCUACUCCGUGGGGAAGGGAACGCUCAGUGACUGCUGCCCCCUGCUCGCUGGCGUCCACCCGUAAUCUCUCAGUUGUGGUCUCAAAGGCCAAACAUGAACCAGGAUUUUCCAUUAUGGUUGCAAUUUUGGCUUGUAAUUUUAUCACUCGAAUCUAAAUCCACUUCAGAAAUGCCAUAAACUAAUUGUCACUGAAUAAACUGAAACUUUUGAGGAGUUUAUAAAAGUGAUUUAGUGGGAGAAAAAAAGGAAAAUAGAAAACAAAUGUUGCCCACAGAAUUGUUGGCAAAAAGGUAAAAACUCUCUGUUUCUUUUGAAAGCAUUCCCUCGUCUGGGAGCAAUCCCUGCCCAUCGUGGCUUUGGGGCCCAGUCCCUGAGAUUGUGUUUGUCUUGGAGCUGGUGGGCUUGAUUUCACGUUUGUCCCUGGGAAGCUGAUUGAGGCAGCGUCGGCAGUGAGGGCAGGGGUAGGUUGCGUAGAAAGUAAAUGGCCGCAGAUCAGAUCCAAUCCUUAUCCCACAGAAUGAACCUUGUUUCCUUGAUUAAAAAUAAUAAUAAUAACAAAAUGAAUGUUGGGGUUAAGUAAAUGUGAGUUAAUUACUAAGUUGUGACCACGUUCACAGUUUCUGAGGCUAAACACUUCAACGCUCCUUGUCAGUUUAUGUUAGGCAAUAAUUUGAAUGACUACUGGUUAGCUGUUUCACUUCAUUCAUAUUAAGAAACAAUAUACAAAGGGUAUAAAGUGAUCAGCUCUGUUUACGCUGAGGAGGAGGGUUAUAAAAUCAGCUAACAGGGAGCAGGGCAGAGGGGAGAGUGCUCAGGGUUUUUGAUGUGCUUCUGAUGAUCGUUUACGAAGGAAAAUCUUUGGAGAAACUUUUAAAUGUAGACACUCUGGGAACAGUGAAAUGAUGCAAAGCCCUCAACGGCAUUUUCAGCAUGGACCAGGGAGAGAGGAGAGAGUUUCCCUGGAACACACAGCUUGUCGAUAAGAAAGAGCCUACAAAAUACUCCAGGUCAAAAGGAGCGAGAUCCAGGAUCAGUUGAACUCCUGCAAGACCUGCCAGUGCCGAAUUACAGCAAUCUUGGUGCCUGCUGAGGUGGGAGUCAGGGAGGCUGUGGAAUUCUGAGCUUCCUGGUUGGCUGAGGAGAGAGGGCUCAGGGGAGAGGUCUUCCUCCCACCACUGCCUUAGAGAAACCCCAAAACCUCAUAGCUUCGAACCCCAGAAUUCUCUGGUCUUCUGCAAAAAUGCAGACAUGCUGGUGUCAGGAAUCAGCCUGGAGUCCCAGGAGCAGCAUCUCACAUCUUUACGGCAACACAAAACAAAGCAACACAAAAACAACAAAUGCAAAGAUAUCUUCUUGAGGAGAGGCCUCAACUGAAUGAGCAGGGAGGGGCGUGUUCCUUAAACCAGUGGUUCUCAAAAGGUGGUAUCUGGACCAGCAGCAGCAGCAGUGCCACCUGGGUGCAGACCAGAGGAUUCCAGAGCCCUGAGGGCUCCUAGAAGGAACACAGUGACAUCACAGAGUCAUUGUGGGGGAGGGGUUGGGCCAGCCAGGGCAGGCAGGGACAGCCCCUCUGAUGAGGAGGCCACUGGGCUGAGACCAAUGAAUGAGAUGGAGCCAGCCACGUGGUGAGCCAGAAGAGGGCAUCACAGAGCACCCUUUAGACCCGUUGGAACCGUUGCCCACAGGCAGAGAAGGAAUGGGAGUAGGAAACCCUCAGGAGGGGGCUGGAGAAAUAAAACGAGAGAGGGGUUCCGUCGGGCCAGGGACGAAAAUGGUGCACCAGCAGCCGAGGGCUGCCGUUUGUUGGCCGUCUGCACCUGAGGGCUUGAGUCUGGGGGAGCCUGGCUGCCCAGAGGUGGCAGAUGACAUGAAGAAAUAACCAUGUAAGGGCUGGCUGUGUAUGAGAGCAAGCAUUGGGAAGGAUGAAUGCCAACUAUGUUCCAGGAACUUCCACUGUUCUCACACACCCAGGUGAGUGGUGUUCAGGUGGGUGGCACCCAGGUGAGUGACAUCCCAGUUGAGUGGCACCCAGGUGAGUAGCAUCCAGGUGAGUGACACCUAGGUGAGUGACAUUCAGGUUAGUGGCGUCUGUGUGAGUGGCAUCAUCCAGGUGAGUAGCUUCCAGGUGAGUGGCACCCAGGUGAGUGGCAUUCGGGUGAGUGGCAUUAUCCAGGUGACACCUGGGUGAGUGGCAUCCAGGUGAGUGAUAUCAUCCAGGUAAGUGGCACCUAGGUGACAUCCAGGUGAGUGACGACAUCCAGGUGAGUGACAUCAUCCAGGUAAAUGGCACCCAGGUGAGUAGCAUUCAGGUGAGUGACACCCAGGCGAGUGGCAUCCACGUGACUAGCAUUGUCCAGGUGCAUAACACCCAGGUGAGUGGCACCCAGUUGAGUGGUGCCCAAGUGAGUCACAUCCAGGUAAGUGGGGUCCAGGUGGUGGCACCCAGGCGAGUGGUGCCCAGGUGAGUGACAGCCAGGUGAAUGGUGUCCAGGUGAGUGGCAUCACCCAGGUGAAUGGUGUCCAGGUGAGUGGCAUCCAGGUAAGUGGUGUCCAGGUGGUGGCACCCAGGUGAGUGGUGUCCAGGUGAGGGGCAUCACCCAGGUGAAUGGUGUCCAGGUGAGUGGCAUCCAGGUGGGUGGUACCGUCGACGUGACAAUAGCUAAAAAUUAUUGGGCUCAUUGUGGACAGGCACUGUGCCGAGCUUGACAUCACUGAACUCAGUUCAUCCUCGCCAGGAGCUUGUGGGCCGUCCCUAGAUCAGAAUCCGAGGAGAAAGGACUUCCACACGGCAGCCAGCGAGCUGGAGGGCGGCCUCCUGCCACCACCAGGCUCCCUAACCCAGUCCUGGAUAUCUGUGAAAGAAUGAGUGGAUCCCCACAGGCCAGCCCUGACUUCCCACAGCUAUCCCCAAACACACUCGUUUACACUGAAGCACCAGGAGAUCAGAACCUUCUGGAAUCUUAAUAUGCGAGGACUCGGUGGAGAAGGCGGCACUGAAGAAGAGUCGUCCCUAGGCCAGGCUGGAGGGAAACUCAAGACGGCGGCCUGGCCCUCCUGGGUGGCGGAAGUGGGAGCAGCAGGAGCCCUGGCGGAUCCGGGAGGCCAGAAGAGCGGAAGCUUCCUCCCCUCUCAGGACAGCCACAAGGACUUUCGGGGGUCGUGGCAGCUGCUCCACUUCCAACUUCCAGAUCCCUCUCACUUUCCUCUUCCCACCAACUCCAACCUGGGACCAAGCAGGGGAAAGCAGCUGCAGCCCAGCUUGACGCCCCUGCAAAUGGAGACCUGUGCACCUGGUUGUGAGCAUUUUAAAGGGUGUCACACAGGGCAUACCCUUCGGUGCCUGGAUUCCUUUGAUGAAAGGGCAAAGCCUUGAACCUAAGUCAUCUUCGAGUCCUCAGCACUUCACCCAGAGCCUGGCACACAGUAGGAGCACAGAAAGGUUUACAUCCAGCAGGAGUUGGCCCUGAGCUCUGAGUCCAGAUCAUUGCUCUUGGCUGAAGCAGCCUGUCUACUCACAAAGAUGAGCAUGGUCCCUGCCACGAGGAAACUCGUGGUCCUGUGGACUGCGGUGUGGAGGGAAAGCUUGGGAUUCUGAGCCUGAUAAUGCACCAUUACAUCCCCACUCACUCGGGCUGUGUGAACCCAGCAAGUCACAGGAUCACUGGGUGGUGAAAGAAAGAAACACUCACAGAAGCGUCUGUGCUUGGAGAGCCAUCUGGUCCGUCAUUGUGACUGCUGCUCUCAUUGCUAUCAUGGGUGUCACCAUUGCCAUCACUCAAGGACUUCUCUCCAGGCCCCGAAGCCAAGCUGGUGCCUGGUUCCUCUGGGUUGGGAGAGGGGCUGGGCAUGGACAGGAGGAGGGAAAAGGGACCUGUGCUAGCAGGUGAUGCCAUCCAAGACAUCUGCAUCCUAAUCCCUGGAACCUGGGAUUCCACUAGGUGCCAUGGCAAAGAGGGAUUAAGGUGGCAGGUGGAGUGAAGGUUGCUAAUCAGCCGACCUUAAAGUAGGGAGAUGAUCCUGAAUGAGACAAAAGAGAGAACCAGUCAUGGUGUCAUGAGAAGGACUCAAAAUGCAACUGCUGACUUUGAAGAUUAAGGGGCUACAAACCAAGGAACGUGGUAGUCUCUGGAAAAGACAAGGAAUAGACGCUGCGUUGGGGCCACCAGAAGGAACCAGCCCUGUCAACACCCUAAUUUUAGCCCAGUGAGGCCUGUGCUGGACUUCUGACCUCCAGAACUGUAAACUAAUAAAUGUGUGUUGUUUCUGCCA